rnacentral:rRNA from 1 species
UGACGGGCCCGCACAAGCAGCGGAGCGUGUGGUUUAAUUCGAUGCUACACGAAGAACCUUACCAGGGUUUGACAUGCAAGUGGUAGGAAACCCGAAAGGCGACCGACCCUUCGGGGAGCUUGCACAGGUGCUGCAUGGCUGUCGUCAGCUCGUGUCGUGAGAUGUUCGGUUAAGUCCGCUAACGAGCGCAACCCUCGCUGUGUGUUACAAGUGUCACACGGUACUGCCGGUCUUAAGCCGGAGGAAGGUGGGGAUGACGUCAAGUCAGCAUGGCCUUUAUGUCCUGGGCUACACACACGCUACAAUGGCCAACACAAUAGGUUGCUAAGCCGCGAGGUGGAGCCAAUCCUCAAAGUUGGUCUCAGUUCAGAUUGCAGGCUGCAACCCGCCUGCAUGAAGAUGGAGUUGCUAGUAACCGCAGGUCAGCUAUACUGCGGUGAAUACGUUCCCGGGGCUU